AGCAGAGUGGCUUAGUGGGAAGAGCACGGGCCUGGGAGUCAGAGGACCUGGGUUCUAAUCCCGGCCCUGCCA
rnacentral:tRNA from 1 species